rnacentral:rRNA from 1 species
UGACCUCAAAUCAGGUAGGACUACCCGCUGAACUUAAGCAUAUCAAUAAGCGGAGGAAAAGAAACUAACAAGGAUUCCCCUAGUAACUGCGAGUGAAGCGGGAAAAGCUCAAAUUUAAAAUCUGUCAGUCUUUGGCUGUCCGAGUUGUAAUCUAGAGAAGUGUUAUCCGCGCUGGACCGUGUACAAGUCUCCUGGAAUGGAGCGUCAUAGAGGGUGAGAAUCCCGUCUUUGACACGGACUGCCAGGGCUUUUGUGAUGCGCUCUCAAAGAGUCGAGUUGUUUGGGAAUGCAGCUCAAAAUGGGUGGUAAAUUCCAUCUAAAGCUAAAUAUUGGCGAGAGACCGAUAGCGAACAAGUACCGUGAGGGAAAGAUGAAAAGAACUUUGGAAAGAGAGUUAAACAGUACGUGAAAUUGCUGAAAGGGAAACGCUUGAAGUCAGUCGCGUCAUUCAGGGAUCAACCUUGCUUUUGCUUGGUGUACUUUCUGGUUGACGGGUCAGCAUCAAUUUUGACCAUUGGAAAAAGAUUAAGGGAAUGUGGCAUACAUAGUGAUGUGUUAUAGCCCUUGGUUGCAUACAAUGGUUGGGAUUGAGGAACUCAGCACGCCGCAAGGCCGGGUUUUUAUUAACCACGUACGUGCUUAGGA